UACGUAGGGUGCAAGCGUUAAUCGGAAUUACUGGGCGUAAAGCGUGCGCAGGCGGUUGUGCAAGACAGAUGUGAAAUCCCCGGGCUUAACCUGGGAACUGCAUUUGUGACUGCACGGCUAGAGUGUGUCAGAGGGGGGUAGAAUUCCACGUGUAGCAGCGAAAUGCGUAGAUAUGUGGAGGAAUACCGAUGGCGAAGGCAGCCCCCUGGGAUAACACUGACGCUCAUGCACGAAAGCGUGGGGAGCAAACAGG
rnacentral:rRNA from 1 species